CUUCACUUCGCUCUGUUCCGCCGGGUUCCUGCAGCAGCGCCGCCGGUUCUGUACCAUUUUCCAGAUGUAUUGGCACAAGUUUCUUACGCCCAAGAGAGUACGUUUGACCAAAACGCUCAAAAGGCGGAUACGUAAGAUAAGGGUGAAAGUACCAACAGCUCCAAGGAAGGAAGAAGCUACAAUAGAAGAUAGGAUAAUAAGACAUUGUUUGAAAGAAAUGUUUUCUCAAAGGUGGCUUCAUCAAUGCAUAAAAAAAGGAGUUUCACCAGGAGAUAAUUUCAAAUCCCCUAAGGAAUUGAUUUUUACCUUUCACAGGAUGAAGAGGAAUAAGAAGUAGAAUCUGAUGAAGGUCAUGUUAAUCUUGAAGGAGUUAACUUUUGAAAAGUGGAAGAAAUACCAAGGUGGAGCGUGAGGAUGUGAGGAUGCUGAUGGUGAUGUAGCUGCAGAGCUUUUGUUGGUCGUUAUUAUGAUUUCCCAACUAAUUUUCUUUAUGGCAUGUUUCGUUUUUUGGAUUUGUUUAUUUUCCCAGUUUGGGGGAUAAAAAAGUGUAUUUUUAUUUUUCAAUUUGGAUAUUUAUAUAGUCAUCAAUGAAUCUAACUUUGUUUGACAUGACCAAUCUAACUUUAAUAGAAUUGAUUUG